rnacentral:rRNA from 1 species
UGAACGCUGGCGGCGUGCCUAAUACAUGCAAGUCGAGCGAACAGACGAGGAGCUUGCUCCUCUGACGUUAGCGGCGGACGGGUGAGUAACACGUGGAUAACCUACCUAUAAGACUGGGAUAACUUCGGGAAACCGGAGCUAAUACCGGAUAAUAUAUUGAACCGCAUGGUUCAAUAGUGAAAGACGGUUUUGCUGUCACUUAUAGAUGGAUCCGCGCCGCAUUAGCUAGUUGGUAAGGUAACGGCUUACCAAGGCGACGAUGCGUAGCCGACCUGAGAGGGUGAUCGGCCACACUGGAACUGAGACACGGUCCAGACUCCUACGGGAGGCAGCAGUAGGGAAUCUUCCGCAAUGGGCGAAAGCCUGACGGAGCAAUGCCGCGUGAGUGAUGAAGGUCUUCGGAUCGUAAAACUCUGUUAUUAGGGAAGAACAAAUGUGUAAGUAACUAUGCACGUCUUGACGGUACCUAAUCAGAAAGCCACGGCUAACUACGUG